rnacentral:rRNA from 1 species
CCAAGGAGUCUAACAUGUGCGCGAGUCAUUGGGUCUAUUAAAACCUAAAGGCGUAAUGAAAGUGAAGGUCGUCCUUAGCGUCGACUAAGGGAGGAUGGCUCGCGUCACGAUGCGAGCCCGCACUCCCGGGGCGUCUCGUGCUCAUCGCGAGCAGAGGCGCACCCAGAGCGUACACGUUGGGACCCGAAAGAUGGUGAACUAUGCCUGGUCAGGACGAAGUCAGGGGAAACCCUGAUGGAGGUCCGUAGCGAUUCUGACGUGCAAAUCGAUCGUCGGAACUGGGUAUAGGGGCGAAAGACUAAUCGAACCAUC